AACAAUGAUGGGGACACAAACUAAGUAACUCUUUAAAACACUCCCAUGCUUAAUAUAAAGUCUCAUUGUCCUUUUGUGUAAAAGUUGAGAUUUACCUUUUCAAAAU